UUUCGCAGGAGAGAGGGAGUGGCGCACGGGUGAGUAACACAUGGGUACCUGCCCCGCAGUGAGGGAUACCGGCGCGAAAGCGCCGACAAACCCGCAUACGCUCCCCCUUCACCAAGAAGGGGAAGCAAAGCUGGAAACAGCGCUGAGGGAGGGGCCUGUGGCCGAUUAGCUAGCUGGUGGGGUAAGGGCUCACCAGGGCGACGAUCGGUAGCUGGUCUGAGAGGACGAUCAGCCACACUGGGAUUGAGAACGGCCCAGACUCCUACGGGGGGCAGCAGUGAGGAAUUUUCGGCAAUGGGCGCAAGCCUGACCGAGCAACGCCGCGUGCAGGAGGACGCUUUUCGGAGUGUAAACUGCUUUUCGCUGGGACGAGAGACGGACGGUACCAGUGGAAGAAGCCCCGGCUAACUACGUGCCAGCAGCCGCGGUAAGACGUAGGGGGCGAGCGUUGUCCGGAGUUACUGGGCGUAAAGGGCCCGCAGGCGGUCUGGCGCGUUGGGGGUGACAGUCGGCGGCUUAACCGCCGAAGGACUCCCAAGACGGUCGGACUGGAGGGCCUCAGAGGGACAUGGAAGACCGGGUGGAGCGGUGAAAUGCGUAGAGAUCCGGAGGAACACCAAAGGCGAAGGCAGUGUCCUGGGAGGCACCUGACGCUCGGGGGCGAAGGCCAGGGGAGCGAACGGGAUUAGAUACCCCGGUAGUCCUGGCGGUAAACGAUGACCACUAGGUGUGCGGCGUAUCGACCCGCUGCGUGCCGACGCAAACGCAAUAAGUGGUCCGCCUGGGGAGUACGGUCGCAAGAUUAAAACUC
rnacentral:rRNA from 1 species